rnacentral:rRNA from 1 species
GCCAGACUCCUACGGGAGGCAGCAGUGAGGAAUAUUGGUCAAUGGCCGGAAGGCUGAACCAGCCAAGCCGCGUGAAGGACGAAGGUGCCAAGCAUUGUAAACUUCUUUUGUCAAGGGACAAAAUCAGGCUCGAGAGCCUGACCGAGGGUACUUGAAGAAAAAGCAUCGGCUAACUCCGUGCCAGCAGCCGCGGUAAUACGGAGGAUGCGAGCGUUAUCCGGAUUUAUUGGGUUUAAAGGGUGCGUAGGCGGACGCUUAAGUCAGCGGUAAAAUUGCGGGGCUCAACCUCGUCGAGCCGUUGAAACUGACACCCUUGAGUGAGUGAGAAGUAAGCGGAAUGCGUGGUGUAGCGGUGAAAUGCAUAGAUAUCACGCAGAACGCCGAUUGCGAAGGCAGCUUGCCGGCGCUCAACUGACGCUGAGGCACGAAAGUGCGGGUAUCGAACAGGAUUAGAUACCCGUGUAA